CGAACGAGACUCAAACUUCUUUAAAUAGAUGUUUGCAGGUUUAUGACGCUGAAAUCAUGUGUAGUCUGAUUGUGUGGUUGCUGAUUGUGGUUUAAUCGCUACAGUUGGUUUACUUGCACAGUUUUGGCUUAUGCAUGGUGGAGUUAUACCUGUUUGGUUUGUCUUAAGAGGACACUUUGCUUCUUAAAUGGACAAAAUGCGUCUAGCAUUAAUGAGAUUGAGCAAUAACAGGUCUGUGAUGCCCUUAGAUGUCCUGGGCUGCACGCGCGCUACAAUGAAGGUAUCAAUGUGUUUUAUCCUUGACCGAGAGGUAUGGGUAAACAUUGAACCACCUUCUUGGUUGGGAUUGUGGACUGUAACUGUUCACAUGAACCCGGAAUUCCCAGUAAGUGUGAGUCAUAAGCUUGUAUUGAUUACGUCCCUGCCCUUUGUACACACCGCCCGUCGCUACUACUGAUGAAUUGUUUAGUGAGGUCUCUGGACGUGUGCGCCGAAAUACUCUUGUAGUAAUUUGGUAUGUUAUACAGAAGUUGACCGAACUUGAUUAUU
rnacentral:rRNA from 1 species